rnacentral:lncRNA from 1 species
CGGAGGGCCCUUGCCUUUAAAGCUUGUCUGCCAGUAUGGAAACUGCAUAUCCCAUUGUGUAGCUCGUCCAUUACGUAUAGAGCCACUUGGGGGCGUAAACAUUUGAGCAAGGGGGUGAGAAAACCCUCUGAUAUAGGUCAUCCCCUAUGAUAACAUACCAAGCGAUUCUGCGCGCAUCGGCUGGCUUGACCUGGCGAUCGAUAUCUUGAUCGUGCAUUAACCUACGGAUUUUAAUCUGCCAAUCCGCCUCUCCUUGGUUGUUAAUCGCCAUACAUUCCACUGAAGGGCCCGCUAGUACCUGUCUGAUAAUGGUUGUUAAUUGUCCUUUUUCCUUGCCGUUGCUAUAUUUAGACAGUGUGUCUGCUCGAAUUCUCCUCGCCCGGAUGUGUUUGAGGACGAGUUACUCGAAUCCUUUUGCGAGGGUGCUGGCCUUGUGAAAGUAUCAAAGCAAAUAGUCAUCCUUCACCUAAAACUCAGCAUUCAUAUGGCCUACCACCAGUUUAGAAUUUGUUCGGCAUGUUAGGUGUCGAGUCCCCAAAUCUCUAGCCAACUGCAGUCCCGCUAUUAAGGCCUCAU